GAUGAACGCUAGCGGCAGGCUUAAUACAUGCAAGGCGAGGGGGCAGCAAUGUCACCGUCGUACGGGUGCGUAACGCGUAUGCAACCUACCUUCAACUGGGGGAUAGCCCGGGGGAAACCCGGAUUAAUACCGCAUGACACAUUGGUAUAGCAUUAUAUUAAUUGUUAAAGAUUUAUUGGUUGAAGAUGGGCAUGCGUUCG
rnacentral:rRNA from 1 species